GAUGAACGCUAGCUACAGGCUUAACACAUGCAAGUCGAGGGGAAACGACAUUGGAAGCUUGCUUCCUUUGGGCGUCGACCGGCGCACGGGUGAGUAACGCGUAUCCAACCUUCCCGCAAGUAAGGGAUAACCCGUAGAAAUGCGGCCUAAUACCUUAUGUUUUCCUUAGAGGGCAUCUGAUGAGGAACAAAGAUCCGUCGCUUGCGGAUGGGGAUGCGUCUGAUUAGUUAGUCGGCGGGGUAACGGCCCACCGAGACGACGAUCAGUAGGGGUUCUGAGAGGAAGGUCCCCCACAUUGGAACUGAGACACGGUCCAAACUCCUACGGGAGGCAGCAGUGAGGAAUAUUGGUCAAUGGGCGAAAGCCUGAACCAGCCAAGUAGCGUGCAGGAUGACGGCCCUACGGGUUGUAAACUGCUUUUAGGCGGGGGUAAAGUGCCGGACGCGUUCCGGUAUUGCAAGUACCGCCAGAAAAAGGACCGGCUAAUUCCGUG
rnacentral:rRNA from 1 species